rnacentral:rRNA from 1 species
UACGGAGGGGGCUAGCGUUGUUCGGAAUUACUGGGCGUAAAGCGCGCGUAGGCGGACCUGCAAGUCGGGGGUGAAAUCCUGGAGCUCAACUCCAGAACUGCCUUCGAUACUGGCGAUCUCGAGUUCGGGAGAGGUGAGUGGAACUGCGAGUGUAGAGGUGAAAUUCGUAGAUAUUCGCAAGAACACCAGUGGCGAAGGCGGCUCACUGGCCCGAUACUGACGCUGAGGUGCGAAAGCGUGGGGAGCGAACAGG